GCUGGUUCUCCCCGAAAACUAUUUAGGUAGUGCCUCAUGUAUCACUUCCGGGGGUAAAGCACUGUUAUGGCUAGGGGGUCAUUGCGAUUUACCAAACCAUGGCAAACUCUGAAUACCGGAAAGUGCGAGCAUGGGAGACAGACGGUGGGUGAUAAGAUCCGUAGUCAAAAGGGAAACAGCCCAGACCGCCAGCUAAGGUCCCAAAG
rnacentral:rRNA from 1 species